UACGGGGGGGGCAAGCGUUGUUCGGAAUUACUGGGCGUAAAGGGCUCGUAGGCGGCCAACUAAGUCAUACGUGAAAUCCCUCGGCUUAACCGGGGAACUGCGUCUGAUACUGGAUGGCUUGAGUUCGGGAGAGGGAUGCGGAAUUCCAGGUGUAGCGGUGAAAUGCGUAGAGAUCGGCAGGAACACCCAAGGGGAAGCCAGCUGGCUGGGCAUUUGCUGACGCUCAUGUGCGACAGCGUGGGGAGCGAACUGG
rnacentral:rRNA from 1 species